rnacentral:rRNA from 1 species
CCCUUAGAUGUUCGGGGCCGCACGCGCGCUACACUGAUGCAUUCAACGAGUCUAAAACCUGCUCUGAUAGGGGUGGGUAAUCUUUUGAAUGUGCAUCGUGAUUGGGAUAGAUGAUUGCAAUUUUUCAUCUUCAACGAGGAAUGCCUAGUAAACGCAAGUCAUCAGCUUGCAUUGAUUACGUCCCUGCCCUUUGUACACACCGCCCGUCGCUCCUACCGAUUGAAUGAUCCGAUGAAUAUCAUGGAUUGAGGAUGCAAGUAGGUUCGCCUAUCUUCAUCUUCGAGAAGUGAAGUAAAUCUUAUCAUUUAGAGGAAGGAGAAGUCGUAACA